rnacentral:lncRNA from 1 species
UGCACCGGCAGCAUAUGGAGGUUCCCAGGCUAAGGGGUGAACCUGAGCUGUAGCCAUUGGCCUAUGUCAGAGCCACAGCAAUGCAGGAUCUGAGCCAUGUCUGCAACCUACACCACAGCUCACGGCAACGCCAGAUCCUUAACCCAUUGAGUGAGGUCAGGGCUCCAACCCAUGUCCUCGUGGAUGCUAGUCGGGUUCAUUAACCACUGAGCCACGACAAGAACUCUGGAAAUAUUUAAUACUAUAAGAAAUUUCUUUGAAAUAUUAUAUAAACAUGGGCAAAAAAGUUAGAGCUUUGCUUUCAUAUAAGAUGUGAAUAAUAAGCAAAAGUGUGGAAAGAAAGGGAAGGCAAGUUAGGGUAGUCUACAUCCAAAACUCAUAGGGUAGCAGGUCAUUGUCCUAAAGAAUGGUAUCUCUUACCAUUCUGUCCAAUAGGGACAAAUAUUAGGAGCCCUCAUAGCAUGACUGUGGGAAGAUAACUCUAGAUUGGUGAUUUAUUUUUUGUCCUUUUUUUUUGGGGGGGGGGCUGCACCUGUGUCUUAUGGAGUUUCCCAAGCUAGAGGUCAAAUCAGAGCUGUAGCCACUGGCCUGUGCCACAGCCACCGCAAUGCUGGAUCCAGCUGCAUCUGGACCUACACUGGAGCUCGUGGCAAUUCCCAAUCCUUAACUCACUGAGGGAGGCCAGGGAUUGAACCUGUGUCCUUAUGGAUACUACUCAUAUUCAUUUCUGCUGAGCCAUGACGGGAACUCCAAGAUUGGUGAUUUUUAAUCCAGACCUACUGAGUCCAAGGCAGGUGCAUUCUGAAAGGACCCCAGGGAUUUCUGAUGUUCAUAUGUAGGUAAAAGUCACCAUCCUACAUGGGAGUGAGGAUUGCUCAGCCCCCAGAACAUGGCUCAUUCUAGAUUUAGUCUACUUCAAAAAAUGUCACGAUAUAGACAAAAUACUCCUGAAGUUCCUUCAUCCAUGAGAAAGAUGCAACUUUUCACCUGUACUAGAAAAGCUUCAAGGUGGGCAACAGAUUGAUAAGGGUUUUCCACUUCUCCCCUGGGGCAUAGAAGAAAUCCCAGGAGUGACUCUGCUAGGUUUUAGCUAUCAUUUUUAAGAAUUUCAGUUUAUGACCCUCAAAGUUUUUAGUUACACCAUGGCUAAAGGGGUGGGACACUCAGAUAAAACACAUCACACAAUUUCACAAACUGAAUUUGGAGUAAGUGGAUUUUGUUAAUUAUAGCAGCCCUUUGGAUAUAUAAUGAAACUGUAAUAACUAUACAAAAGUAUAUAGCAGCACAAUUUGCAAUUUAGGAAUAUUGGAUAUCACAUGGAAUUUGAUUUAAAAACGGUAAAAUAUUUAAAUGAUGUGUUGAUUCUGCCCGAUUCUUAGCUACGCUUUCCCCUUUUCAAAUAAGGUUGGAACCUGAUAUGAGUAGACAUAAACACUCAGCUGCACAUGCCCUCAUCUCUCUCUUCCUUCCUCACUUACAUUCCCUAUGUAUCACCUUCAAAUGCAAAGGGCUACUACUGUGACCUUGGGAGUGACUGGCAAAAAUGUGUGUGUGUGUGUGUGUAUGUGUGUGUGUGUGUGUCUGCACGUGCACAUGUACAUACAUGUGUGUGCACAGUAGGGCAUAUUUUCCUUUUCAUGAAGGAGAGCUGCAGUUCCAGUAAUCAUAGGUGGAUGAACUGCUUAGAAUAUAUUAUAUACACACACAGAGGCAAGUCGCUUCUAACAUGUUGCUGCUUUUGCUGAUCCAUCAAAUGUUCUAAGAUUUUUGCAAAUGUAGUCAAUAUCAGUAAUAUAUUAACCAUGCUUCAUUCACAAACUGUUUAAUUAUUUCCUCAUUGGUAAAGAAGAAUGGAAAAUAUGUAUAAUGUAAGCAUCACUAAGAAAUGAUAUACAAGGAAUUGGGAGAGCAGAUAAAGGAUAGACACUGCCUCAUCCAGGGAAUCAGAGUACUUCAUCUGAGAGAGGAAUGUUCCAUUUUUUUGGUUGGAUGCAAAUGUCAGGAAUAGAAAGUCAAAACAGAUCUUUCAACUUUUUUGAAAUAUCCUAUUUCUGCUCCAGCAUCCCAUCCACAAGAACUACUGCUCUAAGGAAUCCAACCCCUCCCAGUUAUUUGUUCUUACAUAUACAAUUGUUCAAGUCAUUAAAUGAUACUUCUUGCCUUAUUUCAGCUCCUUAGCAUAACCUGCUUUCUCUAAGCCCAGACUUUAUAUACGUGCUUCACCUUUUCACAACCAAUUCAUUUGCUAUACAGAUAUUUACUAAAUACAACAGCCUUCUGAAUCCAAGGGUUCUGUGGAUCCAACUAAUCGCAGAUAGCAUAGUAUGCUUAUAAUUCUCAGUUGGUUGAAUCUCUGGAUGCAGAAUCUGCCCAUGUAGAACCCGUGGGUCUGGGGGUGACUAAGGGACUUGAACGUCUGUGGAGUUUGGUAUCCACAGUGCUUCUUGGAACCAAUCUGCCAUGGAUACCGAGGGUCACAUGUACCUAUUAUGUGACAGGCAUAUUGCUAGGCACUCGAAUAUGUCAGUGUAAAAAAGAGGGGCACUCCUGCCAUCAUGGGCGUAUUACUUCAGGAUUUCUCAACCUUGGCACAGCGGGCAUUUUAACCUAGAUAACUCUUUAUUGUAAGGUCCCAUACCUUGUGUUGUAGGAUGUUAAUAAGUAUCCAUCGGAUGCCAGUAGCACGCCCCCAGUGUGACAACUCAAUCUCUAUACAUUGUCAAUUGUCUCCAGGGAGGAACAAAAUCACCCUCAGCUGAGAAGCUCUGGGUUACUUAGUAGCGACCGUUACAGUGGUGAUUUAUAUUUAGUGUAGUAAUAAUUAGAAUACUGUCUUCUCACACAAGAUGAUACCUGUUCCGUAGAACACACAGUAUCUUUUUCUUUUACCGAUUUUUAGCUUCUUGGACAAUGAAUAGUAUACAGUAGGCAUUAAAUAAAUACUUGUCAAGGGACUGAAUGAUUAAACCAAUACUUGUACAUCUCUCUCAAAUCUGAGUUAGACAUUUUUGUUUCAUUAUCUUGUUCUGCAUACUUCAGCAUACUUAUUAUACUCUAUUAUAUGCCUACAAUUUUUGUCUGUCCCGUCUCUUUCUUAUUCAUGAAUGAUUGGCUGAAUGGCAAUACCAAUGAUUACUAAGCAUUCAGCAAGAGGUAGGCAUCAAGCUAGUUCAUUUGUGCUAUGCAUAUCCCCUUUUCACCUUUAUAAAAAAUUUGAAAAGAAAUGAUAUAAUCUCCAUUUUCACAGAACAGGAGCCAACUUGCCCUAGGUAUGAUGUAGUACAGUUAGACUCUGAACUUUCUAAGGCUUAUUCUAAAACCCAAAACUUUACCUGCCUACACAGGUAGAAAUUUCUUGGUUUUGUCUAUGAGAAGUAGUGAGUGAGUUAAGAAAUGGCAAAUUAAGAACCCAAUAUUUUUCAUUAGGUAGGUAGAGGAAUAACAUUUAAAAUUAUUACUGGGAUGCAAUUAGCUUAAAAAAUAAACAAAUCAUUUUGUGGAUGAGAUGGUUCCUGUUACCUAGGUUUUUUGGGGUGGCCAAAAUUUCAUUUGAAACCACAUAUAUAGGGCAUGAAUACUGACAAUGGAAUAUCAAUUUGGUCAAAAUUAUUUUUUUAGCCAAAUAUAUGUUUGUUUAGCUAAUAAUAUUUCUGCCAUGUAGCACUUUAUUGUGGAAUCAAUAGUAAGUUUUAAAUAUAAAAAUAGCUUUUAAAUCUUAAGACAUUUGUUUUUCAAAUUCUUUGACAGUUGUAGAUUUUAAGAAAUAACAUGGUUUUGGAAUACAAUGUUCAAUUAACCAUUUCACAAGUUCACAAUUAUACUCUACUUAUUAAUGUAUAAAUUGUUUUCUCAUUAUUUUGUCCACAAUUACAGUUUUCCUAGUGACAGAUUUUAUAAAUAUUUUAAUAUGCCUUCACCUUUCCUCUGGUCGCAGAUUAGACUAAUGAAUGUGUAGAUCAGACAGUUUUAUGUUUUAUAAGAGAAGAAAAGACUUAAGAAAUAACACAGGAAUAUCUGUGUUUCUGUCUACAAGAAAGUUAUUGAAAGAUAGAAUUUAAAACACACUUGAGUUUCUGAACAUUAGAAAAAAAUUAUCAUAGAACAGCAAUGACAAUGUUUCAAAUGUGGGCUUCUCCAUUUUUUACAGCAGACUAAUUUACUUCUUACAGAACCCUCACAGUUCUGGAAGGUAGGUUUGGUAACAAUUAUUAUUUUACAUUUUGUUGCUGAGAAAUCUGAGAUUUAUAUGAUUUGAAACACAUUUUAAGUUCACUGAGAGGGUAAAUGGACUAACUUGAAGCAAUUCACAUCUGAAUGUUGGUUCCAAGCUAACAUUUUACUGCUGCUUAGUCAAAGAGAUGAUUAUAUAGACGGUAACUAAGAAAAAUGGGAAGACUUAAGGGCUCUUAGGUUAACAUUCUAUCCAAGUUCCAGUCUUAAGAUGCCAUUGUACUUCUUUGGCAUUUAUUCAUAUUCUCUUUGCUUGAAAUCUAAGCAUUCAAUUCCAUGCCUGGUUUCAAAAUUACUAAAUAGUGUUUGUUCUGAAUGAUUCCAUGCUCUAAGUUUGACAAUUUCACUGGACAAAAAUCAAUGAUCUUAUUUAAAAAGAACUCAAGCUUCCCACCAGAAAUGCCUUUAUAAACUAAAGUCCUUCUAACUUAAGCUCAUACCUACGGAAUAGUAUUUGUAUCUUCUAUAGAGAGGGUUUUUCACAUUAUGAUAGUAGAAUUUAUUGCAAUCUACCCAUUGCUCUGGUUUCAUCCACUUUUUAUUUAGUGAUUGUCUGCACAAAUUGUUUCAAUGUCUUCUUUAUUUCUUUGCUGUUGUUGUUGUUGUUGUUGUCUUUCUGUCUUUUCUAGGGCUGCUCCCACUGCAUAUGGAGGUUCCCAGGCUAGGGGUCUAAUCAGAGCUGUAGCCACCAGCCUACACCAGAGCCGUAGCAACGUGGAAUCUGAGCUAUGUCUUUGACCUACACCACAGCUCACGGCAAUGCCAGAUCCUUAAUCCACUGAGUAAGGCCAAGGAUGGAACCUGAAACCUCAUGGUUCCUAGUAGGAUUUGUUUAUGCUGAGCCACGAUGGGAACUCCUCAAUGACUUUCAGAGCCUCAAGCAGUGGUUUUCAACUUGCAUAUGCUCAGAAUGCCAAAGAGUAAAUUUACCUUGAGGGUUGUCUCCCACUAGAAAGUGUGCCAGUACUGCCUGAUUACAAAUCAGGACUUAUAGAAGUUCCUGGUCUCAAACUUCCAAAGGGCUUUGAAUACCUUAUCACUCAUUUAGCAUCCUUGAAUUGGUUAACUUUUCAAGGAUCAAGGUCUGAAAACCUGUUAUAUUUCCUUUCAUCUUAACAAAAUUCAGUGUUAAUGAAUAUAGUUGAUGCUCAGUAAAUAUUUGUUAAGAAGAUUAGCCAAUUUGACCAUAAACUGAUUUAACCAAAAUGAGCUUAAACUAUCCCCACUUAAGAUCAGAACAAGAAUUAAAAUGAUCAAAGCACUGUAUUGUUUGCUACAAGUGGAGUUCAAUUUUAAUUCAAAUCAAUAAAACAAACCUAAUAAAUUCAGCUCAAUUUCACAGAGAUUGGAAUCCAAAUAAGUAUUUACCCAAAUAUACUACUUUCGGACAUAAGAGAAACAGUGAGAUGGAAAAUGAAAGAGUCUAGGACUCUCAAUACAUCCAGUUCCCCUGAAUGUGCCUGGCGGCAACAAUGGCAGGAUGGAAUUCCAUCCAGGGCAAUUCUAUUCAAGGAAGAGCUCCCCACUCAAAUCCCUUUAAUAGC